UACGAAGGGGGCUAGCGUUGUUCGGAAUUACUGGGCGUAAAGCGUGCGCAGGCGGUAAUGUAAGACAGAUGUGAAAUCCCCGGGCUUAACCUGGGAACUGCAUUUGUGACUGGCGGACUCGAGUAUGGCAGAGGGGGGGUAGAAUUCCACGUGUAGCAGUGAAAUGCGUAGAGAUGUGGAGGAAUACCGAUGGCGAAGGCAGCCCCC
rnacentral:rRNA from 1 species